GGUGAACGCUAGCGGUGCGCCUAACACAUGCAAGUCGAGCGAGAGUUUACCGGAGCUUGCUCUGGAUAAACAAAAGCGGCGAACGGGUGAGUAACACGUUGGUAUCUGCCCCCAAGUCAGGGAUAGCCAUUGGAAACGAUGAUUAAUACCGGAUAGUCUCUUCGGAGUAAAGAUUUAUUGCUUGGGGAGGAGCCUGCGUUCUAUCAGCUUGUUGGUAGUGUAAUAGACUACCAAGGCUAUGACGGAUAACUGGUCUGAGAGGAUGAUCAGUCACAAUGGAACUGAGACACGGUCCAUACUCCUACGGGAGGCAGCAGUGAGGAAUCUUCCACAAUGGACGAAAGUCUGAUGGAGCGACACCGCGUGAAGGAUGAAGGUCUAACGAUUGUAAACUUCUUUUCUGAGGGAGCAUAAUGAGAGUACCUCAGGAAUAAGGGACGGCUAAUUACG
rnacentral:rRNA from 1 species